rnacentral:rRNA from 1 species
UACGAAGGGGGCUAGCGUUGCUCGGAAUCACUGGGCGUAAAGCGCACGUAGGCGGAUUGCUAAGUCAGGGGUGAAAUCCUGGAGCUCAACUCCAGAACUGCCUUUGAUACUGGUGAUCUUGAGUCCGGGAGAGGUGAGUGGAACUGCGAGUGUAGAGGUGAAAUUCGUAGAUAUUCGCAAGAACACCAGUGGCGAAGGCGGCUCACUGGCCCGGUACUGACGCUGAGGUGCGAAAGCGUGG